rnacentral:rRNA from 1 species
GACGAACGCUGGCGGCGUGCUUAACACAUGCAAGUCGAACGGACGAGUGAGAUAAGUUUACUUAACUCACAAGUUAGUGGCGGACGGGUGAGUAACACGUGGAUAAUCUACCUGCAACACCGGGAUAACGCUGUGAAAACGGUGCUAAUACCGGAUACGUUCCCUUGUGCGCAUGUAUGAGGGAAGAAAGCUCAGGCGGUUGCAGAUGAGUCCGCGGCUGAUUAGCUAGUUGGUGAGGUAAAGGCUCACCAAGGCGAUGAUCAGUAGCCGGCCUGAGAGGGUGAACGGCCACACUGGGACUGAGACACGGCCCAGACUCCUACGGGAGGCAGCAGUGGGGAAUCUUCCGCAAUGGGCGCAAGCCUGACGGAGCAACGCCGCGUGGGUGAAGAAGGCCUUCGGGUUGUAAGCCUCGUCUUAUGGGAAGAAGUCGAGUGACGGUACCGAUAGGAGGAAGACCGACGGCUAACUACGUGCCAGCAGCCGCGGUAAUAGUACUAC